AUGGCUGUUAAGUCACCCAGUCUAUGGAAUUUUCUUAUAGCAUCCCAAGAAGACUUAUAUGAAUACCACAGUAACACAGAUGAGCUCCAGGGGCCAGAAGAGGGGUUGCUAGCUGGAAAGACAGCCCUACAGGAAAACAAAACUGCCUCAAGUUAUGCCAUGAAAGGGCCUUGUUUUUAUUUAACAUGUUUAAAUUAGUAUUAUUUAUUUUUGUUGCCUUCUAUUUCAUCAAUUAUUUUGUCAUUUCUCUAUUCAUCAUCGUUCUGUUGUUAAUGAAUUCAUUAAAUAAUUAAAGUACUCAAAAAAAAAAAGAAAGAAAGAAGGAAAGGGUCUUCUCACUGUGUAAUUUGACAAAUGGGGCCACGCUUGACUCAAGUAGUAUUUCUUAACCAAAAACAAGAAGCAAAAGAAACAGAAAACGGUAGAGGUAGAGGAGAAGAAGAUGAGAAGGAAAAAUAGAAUUUGCAUAUACAGUCAUCCCACACAUAACAAUGUUUUGGUCAACUUCCAACUGCAUACAGGAGAGUGAUCACAUAAGGUUAUAAUACCAUACUAUUAAUGUAACUUUUUUUAUGUUUACACAUGUUUAGAUGUGUAACUGCUUACCAUUGUGUUGCAAUUGCCUAUGAUACUCAGUACAGUAACAUGUUAUACAGGUUGGUAGCCCAAGAGCAAUAGGCAAUACCAUACAGCCUAGGUAAUGCAGUAGGCUAUAUCAUCUAGGUUUGUGUAAGUAUGAUGUUUCCACAACAAUAAAAUUGCCCAAUGAUGCAUGUCUCAGAAUAUGUUCCUGUCAUUAAGUGAUGCAUGACUGUAUAUAAGUAUGUGAACAAGAGUAUAGUUAAUAAAAAAUAAAAAGUUUGUAAAUACAUGCAAAUUUGCGUGUCUAAAAUUUAGAGAUGCAUAGUCAUUUAUCAAAUCAAAUGAAUAUGGCACAAAAACUAGUGUCUGCACGACCUACAGACAAAACUCAAAUGUACAUAAAUUGAGACAUUUUAGUCACAGUCACUCUAAACCCUUCCAAGUCAUCCUUUUGUUUGUGAUUACAAUUAUGAUUAUGUCUUGAUAGUAAAUGUUUG
rnacentral:lncRNA from 1 species